rnacentral:rRNA from 1 species
GACGAACGCUGGCGGCGUGCUUAACACAUGCAAGUCGAACGGAAAGGCCCUGCUUGCAGGGUGCUCGAGUGGCGAACGGGUGAGUAACACGUGGGUGAUCUGCCCCUUACUUUGGGAUAAGCCUGGGAAACUGGGUCUAAUACUGGAUAGGACCAUGCUGUAGGUGGUGUGGUGGAAAGAUUAGUUUCGGUAAGGGAUGAGCUCGCGGCCUAUCAGCUUGUUGGUGGGGUAAUGGCCUACCAAGGCGUCGACGGGUAGCCGGCCUGAGAGGGUGGACGGCCACAUUGGGACUGCGAUACGGCCCAGACUCCUACGGGAGGCAGCAGUGGGGAAUAUUGCACAAUGGGCGCAAGCCUGAUGCAGCGACGCCGCGUGGGGGAUGACGGCCUUCGGGUUGUAAACUCCUUUCGGCCAUGACGAAGCCCUUGUGGUGACGGUAGUGGUAGAAGAAGCACCGGCUAACUACGUG